UACAGAGGGUGCAAGCGUUAAUCGGAAUUACUGGGCGUAAAGUGUGCGCAGGCGGCAGAGCAAGUCGAGUGUGAAAGCCCCGGGCUUAACUUGGGAAUUGCGCUCGAAACUACUUUGCUGGAGUGUGGCAGAGGAAGGUGGAAUUCCACGUGUAGCGGUGAAAUGCGUAGAUAUCUGGAGGAACACCGGUGGCGAAGGCGGCGUCCUGGACCAAUACUGACACUGAGGAGCGAAAGCCAGGGGAGCAAACGGG
rnacentral:rRNA from 1 species